UACGUAGGCAGCAAGCGUUUGUUCGGAGUUACUGGGCGUAAAGGGUGCGUAGGCGGUCCUGUAAGUAUGGUGUGAAAUCUCCCGGCUUAACUGGGAGGGUGCGCUAUAGACUGCGGGACUAGAGGGUGGGAGAGGAAAGUGGAAUUCCUGGUGUAGCGGUGAAAUGCGUAGAUAUCAGGAGGAACACCGGUGGUGUAAACGGCUUUCUGGACCAUUUCUGAC
rnacentral:rRNA from 1 species